rnacentral:rRNA from 1 species
GACGAACGCUGGCGGCGUGCUUAACACAUGCAAGUCGAACGAAGAGCGAUGGAAGCUUGCUUCUAUCAAUCUUAGUGGCGAACGGGUGAGUAACGCGUAAUCAACCUGCCCUUCAGAGGGGGACAACAGUUGGAAACGACUGCUAAUACCGCAUACGAUCUAAUCUCGGCAUCGAGGAUAGAUGAAAGGUGGCCUCUACAUGUAAGCUAUCACUGAAGGAGGGGAUUGCGUCUGAUUAGCUAGUUGGAGGGGUAACGGCCCACCAAGGCGAUGAUCAGUAGCCGGUCUGAGAGGAUGAACGGCCACAUUGGGACUGAGACACGGCCCAGACUCCUACGGGAGGCAGCAGUGGGGAAUCUUCCGCAAUGGACGAAAGUCUGACGGAGCAACGCCGCGUGAGUGAUGACGGCCUUCGGGUUGUAAAGCUCUGUUAAUCGGGACGAAAGGCCUUCUUGCGAAUAGUGAGAAGGAUUGACGGUACCGGAAUAGAAAGCCAGGGCUAACUACGUG